AGAGUUUGAUCCUGGCUCAGAUUGAACGCUGGCGGCAUGCCUUACACAUGCAAGUCGAGCGGCAGCGCGGGGGCAACCCUGGCGGCGAGCGGCGCACGGGUGAGUAAUGCAUCGGAACGUGUCCUCUUGUGGGGGAUAACCAGUCGAAAGACUGGCUAAUACCGCAUGAGCACGAGAGUGGAAAGCGGGGGACCGCAAGGCCUCGCGCGAGAGGAGCGGCCGAUGCCGGAUUAGCUAGUUGGUGGGGUAAUGGCCUACCAAGGCGACGAUCCGUAGCUGGUUUGAGAGAACGACCAGCCACACUGGGACUGAGACACGGCCCAGACUCCUACGGGAGGCAGCAGUGGGGAAUUUUGGACAAUGGGGGCAACCCUGAUCCAGCCAUGCCGCGUGUGUGAAGAAGGCCCUCGGGUUGUAAAGCACUUUCGGCCGGAACGAAAUCGCGCGAUCUAACAAGUCGCGUGGAUGACGGUACCGGAAGAAGAAGCACCGGCUAACUACGUGCCAGCAGCCGCGGUAAUACGUAGGGUGCGAGCGUUAAUCGGAAUUACUGGGCGUAAAGUGUGCGCAGGCGGCCGAGCAAGUCGAGUGUGAAAGCCCCGAGCUUAACUUGGGAAUUGCGCUCGAAACUACUUGGCUGGAGUGUGGCAGAGGGAGGUGGAAUUCCACGUAGCGGUGAAAUGCGUAGAGAUGUGGAGGAACACCAAUGGCGAAGGCAGCCUCCUGGGCCAACACUGACGCUCAUGCACGAAAGCGUGGGGAGCAAACAGGAUUAGAUACCCCCGUAGUCC
rnacentral:rRNA from 1 species